CCUACGGUGGGCUGCAGUGGGGAAUUUUGGACAAUGGGCGCAAGCCUGAUCCAGCCAUGCCGCGUGCGGGAAGAAGGCCUUCGGGUUGUAAACCGCUUUUGUCAGGGAAGAAAUUGCUCGGGCUAAUACCCUGGGCCGAUGACGGUACCUGAAGAAUAAGCACCGGCUAACUACGUGCCAGCAGCCGCGGUAAUACGUAGGGAGCGAGCGUUAAUCGGAAUUACGCAGGGUAUAGCGUGAGCAGGAGGUGAAAUCCCCGGGCUCAACCUGGGAACUGCAUGUGUGACUGCACGGCUUGAGUACGGUAGAGGAGGAUGGAAUUCCGCGUGUAGCAGUGAAAUGCGUAGAUAUGCGGAGGAACACCGAUGGCGAAGGCAGUCCCCUGGGCCUGUACUGACGCUCAUGCACGAAAGCGUGGGGAGCAAACAGGAUUAGAUACCCUAGUAGUC
rnacentral:rRNA from 1 species